GAAAUAUAAAUAUAUAAAGCUUCUAACUUUAAACUAUAGUGAUACAUCUCAUUAAUAUUUCU
rnacentral:tRNA from 1 species